rnacentral:lncRNA from 1 species
AAUAUUGGGUUAGUUCAAUUAUGCAUAGAGAUCUCACAAAGUUUAAGAUUGCUACAAAUGUUGGCUUAACACCAAAUCAUUUAUCUCUAUACAGUGUCAGAAAAUAAUGGCACCUCUCAAACUGGCUCAAAGAACAACAGUAAGAGGGAAAAGCAACCAUACUAUGGUUUACUCAAACCAACUGCUUUCCACGCCAAGGAUACAUUCAGUUCCAGUCAUGAACAAUUUUUUAAAUGCUCAUCAAGAGUUUAUAUUCCAAUUCAGAUUUGAUAAACUGAGCCCCCAAAUUUGUUAAGAGUCAAAGCCAAUUUCUUAAGAUGACAACAGAAUAAUUUACAUCUUCAAGUUAUGCCUUUUAAGUACCAUCCUUCAAAUCCAGGAUAUAUUCUUAAUACUGAGAUGGCUGUUAAGAGCUUACCAGUUACUAUAACAUAAUAAAACUCAAGCUGA